rnacentral:lncRNA from 1 species
UCGUAUAACUGAUGUCUGGGAGCUCAGUGAAGGGGAGGUAAAAACAACUAGUAAAUGCUGUCCACACUUACUCUAACAGUGAUGUGGAUUUCCUUCUUCCCCACUGGAUUCGUCAGUCUUUCCAUUGUCUACCUGCAAGACAAAACAGUCCAUGUCUGAAGUCAAUCUGCAUUUCAUCACAUCAUUGAACAAUUGUCUCCUCGUAUCCUGGCCAAACCAGAGACACACACAGUAGUCAGUGUUCUCUCUAUCACAUGCGGGUACAGGACGGUGACGGUCUUUCUGUUUGGUCUGUCCAGAGCCGGACACAUCACGCAGGGCGUGGUCACGAUGGAGCCCCGCCACCACAGCGUCGACACGUUGAGCGCAUCAUGAAGGGACCGGUGUUUUAGACUCCUACAGGGGGCAGCACAGGGACCAACAUUAAGUGAUCAGACAUUUUUAACAUGGCUAUUACUACACUAUAUGAUAAUAAAGGUGCCUUACGUAUGUGAGUGCGGAUCAAAGUGUUAAGCCCUGAAGUAAAUGGAGUAUAGUGAAUUUAGAAUGGCUACUGCUCCCUGAGAUGUUUUAUAAAAGGGAUACGGUCAUGGGGAGACAACCUGUAAACAUCAGGGCCUGUACUCAAAGUCAGCCGUUCUGAUCUAGGAUCAGUUCGCCUUUUAACUCAUAAUAAAUCAUUGAUACACAGGCCCUGGUCCCUGACGGCGACAGUAGGUUGACACCACUCACCAUGCCGGUGCCUUUACAGUAGUGACAGUAGGUUGACACCACUCACCAUGUCCGGUGCCUUUACAGUAGUGACAGUAGGUUGACACCCCUCACCAUGCCGGUGCCGUUACAGUAGUGACAGUGCUGACCUGGUUCCUGGCUCGCUACCUUUACCGUCACAUCUCUGACACGCACCGUCCAGGUUCACGUCAUCUCCUUGUUCACUCCCUUAGCUGCCUGGUGCACGUCCGCUCCAUACAAACUGAGAGGGGGGACGGACCCAGAGGACAGGAAAGGGAGAGAGAGGUGACGGAACAGAGAGACAGGAAAGGGAAGGAGAGGAGGGAACAGAGAGACAGGAAAGGGGAGAGAGAGGUGACGGAACAGAGAGACAAGAACGGGAAGGAGAGGAGGGAACAGAGAGGCAGGAAAGGGGAGGGAGAGGUGACGGAACGAGAGCAGGAAAGGGGAAGAGAGGGAGGGAACAGAGAGACAGGAAAGGGGAGAGAGACGGAGAGGGACGAACAGAGGACAGGAAAGGGGAGAGAGGGGACGGAACGAGAGGACAGGAAAGGGGAGAGAGAGAAAAAG